rnacentral:rRNA from 1 species
AUUGAACGCUGGCGGCAGGCCUAACACAUGCAAGUCGAGCGGAUGACGGGAGCUUGCUCCUUGAUUCAGCGGCGGACGGGUGAGUAAUGCCCAGGAAUCUGCCCGGUAGUGGGGGACAACGUUUCGAAAGGAACGCUAAUACCGCAUACGUCCUACGGGAGAAAGCAGGGGACCUUCGGGCCUUGCGCUAUCAGAUGAGCCUAGGUCGGAUUAGCUAGUUGGUGAGGUAAUGGCUCACCAAGGCGACGAUCCGUAACUGGUCUGAGAGGAUGAUCAGUCACACUGGAACUGAGACACGGUCCAGACUCCUACGGGAGGCAGCAGUGGGGAAUAUUGGACAAUGGGCGAAAGCCUGAUCCAGCCAUGCCGCGUGUGUGAAGAAGGUCUUCGGAUUGUAAAGCACUUUAAGUUGGGAGGAAGGGCAGUAAGCUAAUACCUUGCUGUUUUGACGUUACCGACAGAAUAAGCACCGGCUAACUCUGUGCCAGCAGCCGCCGCAGUAA